rnacentral:tRNA from 1 species
AGGGGAUUAGGUUAGUGGUAAACCGGCGGUCUCCAAAACCGCAGUCGGGGGUUCGAUUCCCUCAUCCCCUG